rnacentral:rRNA from 1 species
UGGGGAAUUUUGGACAAUGGGCGAAAGCCUGAUCCAGCAAUGCCGCGUGUGUGAAGAAGGCCUUCGGGUUGUAAAGCACUUUUGUCCGGAAAGAAAUCCUUGGCUCUAAUACAGUCGGGGGAUGACGGUACCGGAAGAAUAAGCACCGGCUAACUACGUGCCAGCAGCCGCGGUAAUACGUAGGGUGCAAGCGUUAAUCGGAAUUACUGGGCGUAAAGCGUGCGCAGGCGGUUUGCUAAGACCGAUGUGAAAUCCCCGGGCUCAACCUGGGAACUGCAUUGGUGACUGGCAGGCUAGAGUAUGGCAGAGGGGGGUAGAAUUCCACGUGUAGCAGUGAAAUGCGUAGAGAUGUGGAGGAAUACCGAUGGCGAAGGCAGCCCCCUGGGCCAAAUACUGACGCUCAUGCACGAAAGCGUGGGGAGCAAACAGGAUUAGAUACCCUGGGUAGUCCACGCCCUAAACGAUGUCAACUAGUUGUUGGGGAUUCAUUUCCUUAGUAACGUAGCUAACGCGUGAAGUUGACCGCCUGGGGAGUACGGUCGCAAGAUUAAAACUCAAAGGAAUUGACGGGGU